AUUUCUCAUGGGGGAAACCCGAUGGAUUACCCGCGUGGAGGAUGAAGGUCUUCGGAUUGUAAACUCCUGUCAUGCGAGAACAAGAAAGUGAUAGUAUCGCAAGAGGAAGAGACGGCUAACUCUGUGCCAGCAGCCGCGGUAAUACAGAGGUCUCAAGCGUUGUUCGGAUUCAUUGGGCGUAAAGGGUGCGUAGGCGGCGUGGAAAGUUGAGUGUGAAAUCCUAGGGCUUAACCUUAGAACUGCACUCAAUACUCCCAUGCUAGAGGAAUGUAGAGGAGAGUGGAAUUCACGGUGUAGCAGUGAAAUGCGUAGAUAUCGUGAGGAAGACCAGUUGCGAAGGCGACUCUCUGGGCAUUUCCUGACGCUGAGGCACGAAGGCCAGGGGAGCAAACGGGAUUAGAUACCCCGGUAGUCCUGGCAGUAAACGGUGCACGUUUGGUGUGGGCGGGUUCAGACCCCGUCCGUGCCGGAGCUAACGCGUUAAACGUGCCGCCUGGGAAGUACGGUCGCAAGAUUAAAACUCAAAGAAAUUGACGGGGGCCCGCACAAGCGGUGGAGUAUGUGGCUUAAUUCGAUGCAACGCGAAGAACCUUACCUGGUCUUGACAUGCAUCUCUAAGUUACUGAAAGUUAGCGAGCCGGUAGCAAUACCGACAAUUUGCACAGGUGCUGCAUGGCUGUCGUCAGCUCGUGUCGUGAG
rnacentral:rRNA from 1 species